rnacentral:rRNA from 1 species
CCUACGGGAGGCAGCAGUGAGGAAUAUUGGUCAAUGGGCGAGAGCCUGAACCAGCCAAGUCGCGUGAGGGAGUACUGCCCUAUGGGUUGUAAACCUCUUUUGUCGGGGAGCAAAAGCCGGACGUGUCCGGCUGUGAGAGUACCCGAAGAAAAAGCAUCGGCUAACUCCGUGCCAGCAGCCGCGGUAAUACGGAGGAUGCGAGCGUUAUCCGGAUUUAUUGGGUUUAAAGGGUGCGCAGGCGGAUUUUUAAGUCAGCGGUCAAAUCGUGGGGCUCAACCCCAUCCAGCCGUUGAAACUGGGGAUCUAGAGUGUGCGAGAGGUAUGCGGAAUGCGUGGUGUAGCGGUGAAAUGCAUAGAUAUCACACAGAACACCGAUUGCGAAGGCAUCUCACGAAUCCGCGAUUGACGCUGAUGCACGAAAGCGUGGGUAUCAAACAGGAUUAGAUACCCUUGUAGUC